CGCUGGGUGGCUCAGUUGGUAGAGCAGGUUCGCCAUGAGCAGAGGCAGCUGUCCUGGGUUUGAUUCCCAGUCUCUGGCCA